rnacentral:rRNA from 1 species
UACGAAGGGGGCUAGCGUUGUUCGGAAUUACUGGGCGUAAAGGGCGCGUAGGCGGUUUCUUACGUUCCACGUGAAAGCCCCUGGCUCAACCAGGGAGGGUCGUGGGAAACGGGGAAACUGGAGGCAGCGAGAGGCUGGUGGAAUUCCCGGAGUAGUGGUGAAAUGCGUAGAUAUACGGGAGGAACACCUGCGGCGAAGGCGGGUAGCUGGGCCAAACACUGGACGCUAAAGCGCGAAAGCUAGGGGAGCAAACGGGG